GUGCUCAAUUUGUCAGCACAUAUACUAAAAUUAGAACUACACAGCAAAGAUUAGCAUGACCUCUGUACAAGGAUGACAUGCAAAUUUGGGAAGCAGUCCACAUUUUG
ensembl:snRNA U6 U6 spliceosomal RNA